rnacentral:rRNA from 1 species
GAUGAACGCUGGCGGCGUGCUUAACACAUGCAAGUCGAACGGAGAAAGGGUAGCUUGCUAUCUUUUCUUAGUGGCGGACGGGUGAGUAACGCGUGGGUAACCUGCCCUUUGCAGGGGGAUAACAGUGAGAAAUCACUGCUAAUACCGCAUACCAACUUCUUUCGCAUGAAGGAAGUUUGAAAGAUUUAUCGGCAAAGGAUGGACCCGCGUUGGAUUAGCUAGUUGGUGAGAUAACAGCCCACCAAGGCAACGAUCCAUAGCCGGUCUGAGAGGGUGAACGGCCACACUGGGACUGAGACACGGCCCAGACUCCUACGGGAGGCAGCAGUGGGGAAUAUUGCACAAUGGGCGAAAGCCUGAUGCAGCGACGCCGCGUGAAGGAUGAAGGUCUUCGGAUUGUAAACUUCUAUCAGCAGGGAAGAAAGGGCCUAUGGCCUAUGACGGUACCUGACUAAGAAGCCCCGGCUAACUACGUGCCAGCAGCCGCGGUAAAAGUACUA